AUUUUCUCAAGCUUCACACAAUGUGACAGUCAGUUGACUUCCGGUUGCCUGAAAGAUGUAGUAUUCUCAGCUCCAGCACCACAUGCUGUCCCCAUCAUGAUGAUAAUGGACUGAAUCUCUGAAACUUGUAAACUGAGACGAGUAUCAAUCUGGAGAAAGUAAACUCAAGAGCAGGAGAGAUGGCUCAGUGGGUGAAGGUGUUUGCUGGUGACCAAGAGUGGAGCCCCUGGAAUCCAUGCAGUGGAAGGAGAAAACCAGCUCUGACCUCCACAAGGCCUGCGGAGACCCUGAGCCAAGUUGGCCUCAGCUUUCAGCAGGAUCCAAGGCUUCCCGUGGCCGCAUCGACAGUUAAGCCGUCCCUCUUUUAGUGGUUGCUGCUGCAAGGCCGUACACUCUCCCAGCUAAGUGCAGCCACCUGUGUGACCUCAGCCCUGCUGCUGCCAUCUUGCCUGACCAGCCACCGCCAAAAGUUACGCAGAAUAGCUGAACGCCUUUGCCACCUUCUGGUCAAAGAUAAUUACUGCAUCUGGAGUAGAAACCACCAGAUUUUAUUUAUUUAUUAUAUAUGCAGUCUUCUGCCUGCACGCCAGCAGAGGGUACCAGAUCUCAUUCAAGGUGGUUGUGAGCCACCAUGUGGUUGCCAGGAAUUGAACUCAGGACCUCUGGAAGAACAGUCAGUGCUCUUAACCACUGAGCCAUCUCUCCAGCCCCAAACACUAAACUUUUGUAAUGCCCAUGAGAAAGGACAAACAGCUGUGGAAAGACACUGGACUAAGGAAAAAACUACUGAACUGAAUCAGCUGGUAUACUUCAAAGAUGUACUAACCUCUGUAUGGAAACCAGGACAUGUGUUACAAUGGGGUAGGGGUUUUGCUUUGGUUUCCACAGGAGAAGAAAAACUUUGGAUACCAUCAAUUUGAUCAAGAUUUGAGUUGAAAAGGAAAAACCUCUCGACGAGGAGAAAUGACAGGUAUUCUACUAAGUCCCACACAGCCAAUGAAGACCUGCCUGAUAGCAAUCCCUGGACACCCCAGAAAGAAAAUGGGCCAUACCUCCUUGACUGCACUGGAUCCAACUUGCUUCAUUUCAAUGGACACUCUGGCUAGAGCUUCGGGUACUGACUUCAAUCGAGUUGAAGAUUUCAAUCGAGAUCUUCAAUCAAGGGAAUCCCAUCUAAUAGGGACUGGAUACAAUCCAUUCAAGACUUUCACUAUACUAACAUUUUCUUCCUACAG
rnacentral:lncRNA from 1 species